UUAACAUGAUGGACUAUAGGACAGGACUGCUGCUUUUAACUAUCUGCUGGGCAGGUGUUGAUGGUCAGACUCUGACAGAAUCUGAACCAGCGAUUAAAAGACCUGGAGAAUCCCACAGAUUGACCUGUACAACAUCUGGAUUGUCAUUCAGUAGCUACUAUAUGGCCUGGAUCAGACAGGCUCCUGGAAAAGGACUGGAGUGGAUUACGAGUAUCCACAGUACUAACAUCUACUACUCUCAGUCAGUUCAGGGCCGGUUUACCGUCUCCAGAGACGACAGCAGAGAGCAGCUGUAUCUGCAGAUGAACAGUCUGAAGACUGAAGAUUCUGCUGUUUAUUAUUGUGCUCGAGACCCACAGUGACUGCAGUUGGUUGAGCA